rnacentral:tRNA from 1 species
AGCUAAAUAGUUUAAUUAAAAACAUUAAUUUUGUAAAUUAAAUUUAAAAUAUUUUUUUUAGCUU